UCAUAAAAAUAGAUCUGACUUUCUACUUUGGGAUUUUCGUUUCUAUAAGGAAAUAUUUUGACCAUAUUGGCACUAAUUUUCCAGUCCCUAUAUUAAUAAUUAGCCCUUAACAUUGAAGAUGCUAAAUGUCCUGAAAUAUGCACUUGAAUGACAACUUUACCUGAUUAUGAUAAGAAUAAAAAUUAACUAUGAGGUCUCGGACUCAAAUCCCAGCAGAGACAAAAACACUAGGUGAUUUCUUCCCGUCUGUCCUAGUCUUUGAGGAUGGAGUUACCUGGUAGCUGUUGCUGGUGGGAGGUGACAGGUAUCCCGUGAAAAAUAGUCGAGGUGUGCGCAAGAUGGCCCGGACGACACGGUUAUCAAAAAAAAAUUUAGUGCAAAUGUGCACUAUUUUGGUGCCUCUGGAUGGCGCCAAUGGUAGACUUUUCCUAGAUAGUUUCCUUUUUGUUGAUUAUGUUUGGGAAGAAGGCUACAUAUCAACACUGAGAAAUACUGUUCGGUCACGUGCCUGGGGGCCUGCAAUUGGUUACAGCUACCAAGUUGAGCGGUGCCAUGUUGUGAAGAAUGCAUUAUGACAACAACGAUUUGUACGUGAAGUAAUAAUUCAGUUCAACCUUUGCAACGAGCCUUGGUAUGUUAUUUUAUAUUUCUUGGAGAGUUUAGUUCUUGACUAAAAUCUGUUUCUUACUCUGUUUUUAUCGAAUUUGGCACAAAAUUGCUGGACAAUGGUACUUUCAACUUAUUGCUGCAGUCUGGGAAGAUUUUAGUUUUCACUAUGAUGUUUCUUAACCUAGACGCUCCAAAAGUUCUCUUCAAUUUGUUCCAUGAUAUUUAAGCAGAUUCAGGAAGGGUUUGCCUGCAAUCUUCAUCCUUAUUCUGAAUUCCCACUGCUCUUCCUAAAAUUGUUGAAUAGAGUGUAGGACUAGAAGUGUUAUUUUGAAGCAGUAAGGAUGACAUGUUGAAGUAUCAUUCAGUCUUCUUAAGCUGGAUAUGCACAUGGUUUUGAUCUGUUCUCGGGACCUAAGGACUUUUCUAAUACUAAGGCCUUGGUAUUAAUGCUAGAAUUUUACUUGGAUCUCUGUUUCCUUCUGUUGGUAGAUCUAAAUUCAGUUACGAAGUCAUUGAUUGAUCUAUAUUUUCAAAGGAAGUAGGAGAACUAAGAGAAUAAGCUUUUCCUAUGCCUGAAGCUCUUACCUUAACUUUUGUGGAUUUUAAGGUUCACAUUUACUUACUGCUGAACGUUCCUUACCAGGAUGAAAUACAGCAUCAGUGUUGUUGCUGACAAGGGUCUGACAAAGCCUCUUUUCACAUCUUCGCGUCUGAAGAAGGGAGAAGUUUUGUAUCCGGAGACCCGUUCCCGGAGGUACAAACUGAGCCUUUUCUGUUUGGUGCGAUCUCAAGCUAAGCUAUAAAUUGCCUGUGAAGAGCUGUUUGGAUGCUCAUUCUUUGUUUUUCACUAUAAAUUAUGGCAUACUGAUGCAUUUGAUGACUCAUUUUGAGGAAAAAUAGAGCUGAGACGAAAGUGCUCUUGAAUUUCUCUGUGCUUUUGCGGCCAGGGGGCCAAGAAGAUAAAAAUAAGGACCAAAGAAAAUGGGGCAGAUGUGACUCGAAGAUAUUCUCUUUCUUUCUUUCUUUCUUCUACUUUUGCUUCUUUGGUUUGAGUAUAGAGUCGGAGGAGCCAAAUUGAAUCUUUUGAUAAGCCUAGUUGUUAAUUGAUGUUAUGUUCGUAUUCUUUGAGAGAUUUUGAUGACCUUAGCUAACUAUGCUGCCAAGUCUUAGAUGACCUUACGUCCAUUUGUUUACAUUUUGUUCGUAAGCUCCAUUUUCCUUUACCGACUGACAGGUUAAUUAAUUCAAGGUAUGAGCUUUUCUUUAAUGGAGAAAAAUUGGUAAAGGCUACUUCAGCAUCACAUACGCCUGAGAUGGAUGGUGACAAACCUCAUGUGGCAAAUGGGGAAAAAUGUGGUGGAUAGUGAAAGUAUCAUCGUUGACGUGUUUAAGUGGUCUGCUGUAAAAGGCCUUUACCCCAGGAGCUAAUGCUAUCAAUUGGGAUUCCUUUGCCCCUUCAACAUGUCGAGGUUCUGCAGGACAAUCUGGAAUGGGAGGACAUUCAAUGGUCGCAAACCGGUGUCUGGAUUGCUGGAAAAGAAUAUGUUCUUGCUAGGGCACAUUUUCUUUCCCCAAAUUAGUUUGUUAGAAAUGUACUAACUUGAUACUGAACAUCAGUAAAGUAACGCACUGCUAAAUGGAAACUGAUUAUUGGCAAACAACAUUAAUCUGUUUCCAAGUUUCACUUUCUUGUUGUAGUGUGUAUUUUACAUGUUAAGUGUCUACCUAUGAGAAAGUAAUGCAGAAUCAGUGGGAAAAGAAUGAGAAACAACAGUUGUUACUCUUCUUAGCCA